rnacentral:rRNA from 1 species
GAUGAACGCUGGCGGCGUGCCUAAUACAUGCAAGUCGAGCGAACGGACGAGAAGCUUGCUUCUCUGAUGUUAGCGGCGGACGGGUGAGUAACACGUGGAUAACCUACCUAUAAGACUGGGAUAACUUCGGGAAACCGUAGCUAAUACCGGAUAAUAUUUUGAACCGCAUGGUUCAAAAGUGAAAGACGGUCUUGCUGUCACUUAUAGAUGGAUCCGCGCUGCAUUAGCUAGUUGGUAAGGUAACGGCUUACCAAGGCAACGAUGCAUAGCCGACCUGAGAGGGUGAUCGGCCACACUGGAACUGAGACACGGUCCAGGCUCCUACGGGAGGCAGCAGUAGGGAAUCUUCCGCAAUGGGCGAAAGCCUGACGGAGCAACGCCGCGUGAGUGAUGAAGGUCUUCGGAUCGUAAAACUCUGUUAUUAGGGAAGAACAUAUGUGUAAGUAACUGUGCACAUCUUGACGGUACCUAAUCAGAAAGCCACGGCUAACUACGUG